AAUCAACGCUGGCGGCGUGCCUAACACAUGCAAGUCGAACGCGAAAGCCCCUUCGGGGGUAAGUAGAGUGGCGUCCGGGUGAGUAACACGUAGGUAAUCUACCUUCGGGUGGGGAAGUAACCAGUCGAAAGAUUGGCUAAUACCGCAUAAUGCAGCGGCACCUAAUGGUGAUUAGUUGUUAAAGCGGGGGAGUCGUAAGACCUCGCGCCUGAAGAGGAGCCUGCGGCAGAUUAGCUAGUUGGGAGGU
rnacentral:rRNA from 1 species